CCUACGGGAGGCAGCAGUGGGGAAUAUUGCGCAAUGGGCGAAAGCCUGACGCCGCGACGCCGCGUGCGGGAUGAAGGUCUUCGGAUCGUAAACCUCUGUCAGCAGGGAAGCACGGUCACUGUGCUAAUCAGCAGUGAAUUGACGGUACCUGCACAGGCAGCACCGGCUAACUCCGUGCCAGCAGCCGCGGUAAUACGGAGGGUGCGAGAGUUAAUCGGAAUUACUGGGCGUAAAGCGCUCGUAGGCGGUAUGUCAAGUCAAGGGUGAAAUCCCCGCGCUCAACGUGGGAACUGCCUUUGAAACUGGCAGACUGGAGUGUGUGAGAGGAUAGUGGAAUUCCAGGUGUAGGAGUGAAAUCCGUAGAUAUCUGGAGGAACAUCAGUGGCGAAGGCGACUAUCUGGCACAUAACUGACGCUGAGGAGCGAAAGCGUGGGUAGCAAACAGGAUUAGAUACCCUUGUAGUC
rnacentral:rRNA from 1 species